rnacentral:rRNA from 1 species
UUUGAAUUAAUUUAUAUUAAUUUAUUUUUUUUGUAAUUAUGUAUUUUAUUUAAAGUUAUAUUAAUUAUUUUUUUGUUAUAGUGUUUAAAUUUUAAGUAAUAUUUAUAUUUUAAAAUGUAAAUGAUUUAUGAAAUAAUUUUUAAAUAUUUUAAUUAAUAAAGUAAAAUUUAUUUUUUGUACCUUUUGUAUCAGGGUUUUUUAAUUAAUUAUUAGUUAUUGUUAAUUUUCUCGAAUUAAUUAGAGUUAAUAUAUUAUUUAAGUUAAUGUUUAAUUAUUAUUUAUAAUAUUAUAUUAGGGGAGAAAUUCUAGUCAAUAAUUAAGAUAUCUAGUUUUUUUAGAAAUAAAUUUAAUUUAUUUAUUAAUUUUGAUAUUUUAAUAAUAUUAUUUAAAAUAUUAAUUUAAUAAAAAGAAUUUAAGGGAUUAGCUUUAAAUUUUAUUUUAAAAAUAAAAGAGAUAAUUUUAUAGAUAAAUUAUAGGUUUAAAAAUGAUUAUUAAUUAAAGUUUUUAAUAAUUUAUUAUUUUGUUUAUUAUAAUUUUUUUUUAUUUUAAUUAUUUAUAAAAAUAUUUUAAUUAAUUUUUUAUUAAAAUUAAUAAUGAUAAAAUUAUUAUAAUUUAUUUUGUUUAUUUGUUUAUUUAUUUUAAAAAUGAAUAUAAGGAACUAGACAAAUUUAAUAUUUACCUGUUUAACAAAAACAUGUCUUUUUGAUUUUAAUUUAAAGUCUAAUCUGCCCACUGAAUAAUUUUAAAUGGCCGCGGUAUUUUGACCGUGCAAAGGUAGCAUAAUCAUUAGUUUUUUAAUUGAAAGCUUGUAUGAAUGAUUGAAUAAAAUAUUUAUUGUCUCAUAUUUAUUUAUGUUAAAAUUUAAUUUUUAAAUUAAAAAGUUUAAAUUUUAUUAUAGGACGAGAAGACCCUAUAGAUUUUUAUAAUUAGAAUUAUAAUUUAAAUUUAAUUUAUUUAUUUAAAUUUAUUUUUGAUUGUUUUGUUGGGGUGACAUUAAAAUUAAAUUAACUUUUAAUUUAAUUUAACAUUAAUUUAUGAAAUUUUAAUAUAUAAAUAAUUUAUAUUAUAUUAUUAAUUUUUGAUCCUAUUUUUUAGAUUAGUAAAUUAAAAUACCUUAGGGAUAACAGCGUAAUUUAUUUGGAGAGAUCAUAUUAAUAAAUAAGUUUGCGACCUAGAUGUUGAAAUAAGAUAUAGUUUAGGUGGAGAAUAUAAAUAAAUAGGUCUGUUCGACUUAAAUCUACAUGAUUUGAGUUCAGAUCGGCGUGAGCCAGAUCGAUUUCUAUCCCUAAUUAAUGGAAUUAUAUUUUUGUACGAAAGGACUUAAUAUUUUAAUAAUUUAUAAAUAAUUGAAUAAAUUAAAUUUUAAU